rnacentral:misc_RNA from 1 species
GAUGAAGAACGUAGCGAAAUGCGAUACGUAAUGUGAAUUGCAGAAUUCAGUGAAUCAUCGAAUCUUUGAACGCAUAUUGCGCUCUCUGGUAUUCCGGAGAGCAUGCUUGUUUGAGUAUCAGUAAACACCUCAACUCCCCUUUCUUUUUUUGAAAUGGGAGCUGGACUUGAGUGAUCCCAACGCUUUUCUCACCGAAAAGUGGCGGGUUGCUUGAAAUGCAGGUGCAGCUGGACUUUUCUCUGAGCUAAAAGCAUAUCUAUUUAGUCUGCCUAAAAAACAGAUUAUUACCUUUGCUGCAGCUAACAUAAAGGAGAUUAGUUCUUGUGCUGACUGAUGCAGGAUUCACAGAGACAGCUUCGGCUGGCCUUUGUAAACUCGAUCUCAAAUCAAGUAAGACUACCCGCUGAACUUAAGCAUAUCAAUAAGCGGAGGA